rnacentral:piRNA from 1 species
UGGGAGAAAGACCUUAUGUUUCUGCUUA